UGUCUCUGGAAAUGUCUCCAGGAACACAAGGACUCCAGGCCCCUAUGUCCUACCUGGGAGCAACCCGGAGCCCGUGAGCUAAAGACAGUAAGAAAAUGUUUACACUCCCUGAAAAUCUAAUUUUGCUCCUUUAUCUUAACUUUUAUUAACAGGGGACGACCUCAUAAUCUGGUGACAUCAUGAACCUGGUGGGCCGACAGAUAAAUAUCUUCAAUAAAAGAAAAGCGAGAAUGCCAAAGAACCAGCUAUAAAGUAAUCUGGAAGGAUGUGGAGGUGCUGGGCAGAAGGCCCUGGGGGGAUCUGAAGGAUACUACCAGCAUCCCAAGGGGCACACGGGGCAAUGUGCCCUCCUGCACCUCAGAGGCCUGACAAGUGGAACUGGGAGUAACCCUGGGUUUCCUUUAUCUUAAUCCAACACCAGCUACAAACAUGCAUGAAGUCGCUAAUGCCAGCUUCAGAUUUGCGACUGAAUCAAAGUCAUCACUACAAGAACCCCUGCCAACUCUCCUCGAAGAUAAAGAGAAAAAAAAAUACAGAAAAUGUGUUGCUUGCAGCGAUCUUCCUAAACCCAAAAGAUUUUAAUAAAAGAACCUAUAUAGUAGACGAAUCGGAAAAGGGUGAGUGAAUUCUAUGUGAAGCCAGCAAAGGGAGGGGGGGAAAGGGGAGCUUUAUGUGGGAUUCUUUUCCUUGUACUAACAAAUUACGACCUAAACAUGCCUUUUCUUUUCUUUCUCUCUCUCUCUCUCUCUCUCUCUCUCUCUCUCUUUUAAUAGUUUGUUGUAACUGGAAUGACUGGUCUUGUGUGCUGUCUUGCAUAUUCAAAGCAGCUCUGUAAUCGGAUCUGGAGACCCAACCUUAUUUGCCUGAACUCAAUAGGGUUUUUCUUCUU